rnacentral:misc_RNA from 1 species
UACGGAGGGUGCAAGCGUUAAUCGGAAUAACUGGGCGUAAAGGGCAUGCAGGCGGUUUAUCAAGUAGGAUGUGAAAGCCCCGGGCUCAACCUGGGAAUUGCAUUCUAAACUGAUAGACUAGAGUAUUGCAGGGGGAGACGGAAUUCCAGGUGUAGCGGUGGAAUGCGUAGAUAUCUGGAAGAACACCAAAGGCGAAGGCAGUCUCCUGGGCAAAUACUGACGCUCAUAUGCGAAAGCGUGGGUAGCAAACAGG